rnacentral:rRNA from 1 species
GAUGAACGCUGGCGGCGUGCCUAAUACAUGCGAGUCGAGCGAACAGACGAGGAGCUUGCUCCUCUGACGUUAGCGGCGGACGGGUGAGUAACACGUGGAUAACCUACCUAUAAGACUGGGAUAACUUCGGGAAACCGGAGCUAAUACCGGAUAAUAUAUUGAACCGCAUGGUUCAAUGGUGAAAGACGGUUUUGCUGUCACUUAUAGAUGGAUCCGCGCCGCAUUAGCUAGUUGGUAAGGUAACGGCUUACCAAGGCAACGAUGCGUAGCCGACCUGAGAGGGUGAUCGGCCACACUGGAACUGAGACACGGUCCAGACUCCUACGGGAGGCAGCAGUAGGGAAUCUUCCGCAAUGGGCGAAAGCCUGACGGAGCAACGCCGCGUGAGUGAUGAAGGUCUUCGGAUCGUAAAACUCUGUUAUUAGGGAAGAACAAAUGUGUAAGUAACUAUGCACGUCUUGACGGUACCUAAUCAGAAAGCCACGGCUAACUACGUG